UUGGAUAUCGCCAAGCGGUAAGGCUACGGGUUUUGAUCCCGUCUUUCCCAGGUUCGUAUCCGGGUAGCCCAGCCA
rnacentral:tRNA from 1 species